rnacentral:rRNA from 1 species
GACAGAGGAUGCAAGCGUUAUCCGGAAUGAUUGGGCGUAAAGCGUCUGUAGGUGGCUUUUCAAGUCCGCCGUCAAAUCCCAGGGCUCAACCCUGGACAGGCGGUGGAAACUACCAAGCUGGAGUACGGUAGGGGCAGAGGGAAUUCCCGGUGGAGCGGUGAAAUGCAUUGAGAUCGGAAAGAACACCAGCGGCGAAAGCGCUCUGCUGGGCCGACACUGACACUGAGAGACGAAAGCUAGGGGAGCAAAUGGG